CUCUCCUUUCGCUCCCUCUCUCGUCUCUCACACUCUCUCGCACCGUGGACGUCGCCGGCUCUCGCCGCCUCUGGCGCGGCGAAGCCGGCACCUCUUCUUCCCCCUCCUUCCUUUCGUUCCCUACCUCUUUCCUGAAUCUAAAAUCCCCAAAUUAAAAUAGAUCUAGGGAUUCCUAUUGUUAAUUCAUGUUCUCCGAUGAGUUCCACCAAUGCCGCCGCCGUCUACAUCACACCACCGCUACCUUCGUCUCAGGUAAACCCCCUAUCUCUUUCUUUCUCUCUCUAUCUCACUUUCCUUCUCUUCUCUCUAUCUCAAUUUCUCUCUGCUCUCCCUUUCGAUCUCCCCAUCUGCCCUCUUGCUUGCGGCGGCCGCAGCGCGCAUGCAGCGCUGGCGGUCGCCGCCGCCCCGCUCUCCUCUCUCUCCCUCUAUGUCGCUCUGCUGUCUCUCCUGUCCAUCUCUCUCUCCUUGUGUCUCAGUCUCUUUCCCUCUCCCUCGCUCAAACUCUCUCUCUCUCUCUGCUACUGGCGGCCACCGCGGACCGCCGUGGCGUGGGCAGCGCUGGCGGUCGCUGCCGCCAGUCGCGCCUCCGCCGCGGUGGUUCGCGGUUGCUGUUGCUGCUGCCAUCCCUUCCCCUGUUCUAAUUCUUUUCCUUCUUCUUUUCUCCUUUUUCCUUAUUUCUAUUGUACUACCUUAACUUAAUCACUCUCUAACUAUGUUCUAUUUCAGGAGUUGAUCGGCGUCGUCGACUCCGGCAUGACAGCUUCGUCUACUGCCUAAGAUUCUACAUUUUCUUCCUUUGUUUUUAUUAUUGAUUCGUUGUGAAACUGAAGUAUAAGGAUGAUGGGGAAGCUGGAAAUUAGAAUUAGAAAUGUGUUUGUAGCUAUGCUUAAUAAUUGAUGAAUAUCUGGAUGGACAAUUUGCUGGUAUCGCCGAAUGAGGGAAAAAAACAUCAAACGUGAGAAAGAAGUGAUUUAUACUAAUUUGAAGUCGGUUUCUUAAGUAGCUGCGUGAAAAGCUGAAGGAUACGUGACAGGUGAAUAGCUAAUCUGGAUUAAUAAAUCUAAAGUUUACACCAAUAAGGCUCAUUAAUACUAAAGUUGGG
rnacentral:lncRNA from 1 species